rnacentral:rRNA from 1 species
UACGAAGGGUGCAAGCGUUACUCGGAAUUACUGGGCGUAAAGCGUGCGUAGGUGGUUUGUUAAGUCUGUUGUGAAAGCCCCGGGCUCAACCUGGGAAUGGCAAUGGAUACUGGCAGGCUAGAGUGCGGUAGAGGGUAGUGGAAUUCCCCGGUGUAGCGGUGAAAUGCGUAGAGAUCGGGAGGAACACCAGUGGCGAAGGCGGCUACCUGGUCCAACACUGGACACUGAGG